CUUCGGCGCGGCGACCUUCGCCAGCACCUCCGCCACCCCUCCGCAGAGCAACGGGGGCGGGGGCGGCAAGCAGAGUAAGCAGGAAAUUCACAGGAGGUCUGCUCGGCUCAGAAACACUAAAUACAAAUCUGCUCCGGCUGCUGAAAAGAAAGUCUCCACCAAAGGAAAAGGGAGAAGACAUAUAUUUAAAUUGAAAAAUCUUUUAUUUUUUCCCCUGGAAAAUAUAAAAUAUGGGUUUAAAAGAAACAUCAACCUUGAGCCCAUUUUUUGGGGUUCUCUAUGGAAAGGAAGAGGAGAGAUUAUGGUUCUUGAUAUGGCCAGGUACACUAAGAAAACUUUUUUUUUUCAUUCUUUAAAAAUCUAAGUAAAUAUUAACACUAGAACUCAUCAUUUGCAUAUUUAUUUGUUAUUAAAGCCCCAGAAAAUGUAUCUUACUGACUUAUGAUGAUGAUGUAUUUGAUGAAUAUGAGUCAAAAAUUUUGCUAAGCCUUAUCUCCUCUUCUGCUCUAAGAAAAGAGAUUGUUGAAAGACCUGUGCUGGAAGUAGUUGAAAGCAUAUUUUUAUUGCAAUUAAAUUCUCAGUUUUUAUAAACAAGGGAUAAUGUUCAAACACAGUGGACAGUGCAUUAUGGACUAUUUUUUUAAGUCUCAGUAUGAUAUUCUUUUCUUUCAGAACAGGAAUGUUUCACUUACCCGUAAAGACGUUUCUGAAGUUGGCCAUAUUUAUUUCUAAAACACAAAGGGACCCUGCAGUAGACUUAUGCAGAUGGCAGACUAUUUUCUUUUUUUUUUUUUAAUUUAAUUUAAUGAAUUUUUUUUAAUUUUACUUUAAGUUCUGGGAUACAUGUGCAGAAUGUGCAGGUUUGUUACAUAGGUAUACGUGCCAUGGUGGUUUGCUGCACCUAUCAACCCAUCAUCUAGGUUUUAAGCCCCGCAUGCAUUAGAUAUUUGUCCUAAUGCUCUCCCUCCCCUUGGCCCCCAUCUCCGACAGGCCCCAGUGUGUGAUGUUCCCUUCCCCAAAGUAUUUUCUUAUUCAGACUAGUUGCUUCUAAUUUAUUUAAGAUUUUUAUAGUUAAGUGAGGCAUUUGUUGAUUACACAAAACAUGUUAUUGAUAUUUGUAUCACAUAUGCACAUUUUUUUCCUUUUAAGUAUGGUAUACCGUGUUCUCAGCAAUUAUUUCAUUAUCGUUUCUCUGCAACCUUUCUUCAAUGGUACUAAGCAAGACACAUCUGGGGAGGCCUACUUUCUAUGUUGUGGCAUAAAAGUAUGUAUUGAAGCUUUAGUAGAGAUCUCAAAAAUGGUUGGAUGGUAGCAAAUUACUAAGAACUCUCAAAGUUUCUAAAGCCUUAGUUUCAGCUUGCUAGAAAACCUAUGUUGAGUAUUAUGGCUAGUUCCAUAGUUGAGUUGGGAAAUGUCUUUGAGGAGACACUUUUUCACUUUGUAUUCAUCUGUACAUUUUCUGUUACUUGCAUUCUGUCAUGCUCAGGCUAUUAGAGCAGGUACAUUUUUAUAACUGGAAUGUUUAUGUGUAGUGAAGCUCUGAGAGGACUUUGCAUUAGAUCUCAGCAGCAUAAUCAGAAGGUUGUCCUUUGUCUCAGCAAUUUUUAAGCUAAUAGUAGCAGAAAUUGCAGUGGAAAUAGACUGCUUUGCCACAACAUUCAGAAAAUCAUUUAUCUUUUUAUUGCAGUUCUUGUCACCAAACAAUACAUUUUAGUACUUCUCAAAUUGCAGAACUCUCAUAGGGCUGGGAAAAUGCCUGUAGACACAUACAUACUAUGAAUGUGCUAAUGUUUUUUGUAUUUUCAUAGCCCAUCAAAGCUCCUGAGUCAGUUUCCACUAUAAUCACUGCAGAAUCAAUCUUCUACAAGGGAGUAUAUUACCAAAUUGGUGAUGUUGUUUCUGUGAUUGAUGAACAAGAUGGAAAGCCCUACUAUGCUCAAAUCAGAGGUUUUAUCCAGGACCAGUAUUGCGAGAAGAGUGCAGCACUGACGUGGCUCAUUCCUACCCUCUCUAGCCCCAGAGACCAAUUUGAUCCCGCCUCCUAUAUCAUAGGGCCAGAGGAAGAUCUUCCAAGGAAGAUGGAAUACUUGGAAUUUGUUUGUCAUGCACCUUCUGAGUAUUUCAAGUCACGGUCAUCACCAUUUCCCACAGUUCCCACCAGACCAGAGAAGGGCUACAUAUGGACUCAUGUUGGGCCUACUCCUGCAAUAACAAUUAAGGAAUCAGUUGCCAACCAUUUGUAGUUCACAAAUUAAAACUGGGUUUCCAGGCCUGGUGUGGUGGCUCACGCCUGUAGCCCCAGCUAUUGCACCACUGCUCUCCAAGCUGGGCAAUGGAGUCAGAUUCUCUUUCUUAAAAAACCACAAAAAAACUGGAUUUCCAGUUCUCUAAUAUUCUUAGUACCACAAGAUAUGUCAUAGGUAUCUUUAAAUGAAAUUCUUAGCUGGAAAAGUGACUAAAAAGUUUUUCUCCUGCUACCUAGUAAUAAACAAAUCAUUGUUUAUUACUGGUCACUUAGAAAAUUAAAAGGGAUAGGGCCAGGCACAGUGGCUUAUGCCUGUAAUUGCAGCACUUUUAGAGGCCGAGGCAGGCGGAUCACCUGAGGUCGGGAAGUGGAUCGCCUGAGGUCAGGAGUUCGAGACCAGCCUGGCCAACAUGGCGAAACCCCGUCGCUACUAAAAAUACAAAAAUUAGCCAGGUGUGGUGGCAUGUGCCUGUAAUCCCAGCUAUUUGGGAGGCUGAGGCAGGAGAAUCGCCUAAACCCAGGAGGUGGAGGUUGUAGUGAGCCAAGAUUGCACCGCUGUGCUCCAGCCUGGGCAACAGAGUGAGACUCUUGUCUCGG
rnacentral:lncRNA from 1 species